CCUUUUGGAGGGCGUUUACCACGGUAUGAUUCAUGACUGGGGUGAAGUCGUAACAAGGUAACCGUAGGGGAACCUGCGGUUGGAUCACCUCCUUACUGAAGAC
rnacentral:rRNA from 1 species